rnacentral:rRNA from 1 species
AACGAACGCUGGCGGCGUGCCUAACACAUGCAAGUCGAGCGAGAAAAUUUCCUUCGGGAGAUGAGUAAAGCGGCGCACGGGUGAGUAGCACGUAGGUAACCUACCUCUCAGUUCGGAAUAACCAGCUGAAAGUUGGCUAAUGCCGGAUAAGACCACGAUCUCUGCGGAGUUCGUGGCCAAAGGCGGCCUCUUCAUGAAAGCUGAUGCUGAGAGAUGGGCCUGCGCACCAUUAGCUAGUUGGUGGGGUAACGGCUCACCAAGGCUUUGAUGGUUAGCUGGUCUGAGAGGAUGACCAGCCACACUGGGACUGAGACACGGCCCAGACUCCUACGGGAGGCAG